rnacentral:rRNA from 1 species
AGACAGCAGCCGCCGCGGUAAUACGGAGGGUGCAAGCGUUAAUCGGAAUUACUGGGCGUAAAGCGCACGCAGGCGGUCUGUCAAGUCAGAUGUGAAAUCCCCGGGCUUAACCUGGGAACUGCAUUUGUGACUGGCAAGCUAGAGUGUGGCAGAGGGGGGUGGAAUUCCGCGUGUAGCAGUGAAAUGCGUAGAGAACGGGAGGAACAUCAGUGGCGAAGGCGGCCAUCUGGGACAACACUGACGCUGAGGCACGAAAGCGUGGGGAGCAAACAGGAUUAGAUACCCCGGUAGUCCCUGUCUCUUAUAA